GUGCUUGCUUCGGCAGCACAUAUACUAAAAUUGGAACGAUAGAGAAGAUUAGUGUGGCCCAUGUGCAAGGAUGACACGCAAAUUCCUGAAGCGUUCCAUAUUUUU
rnacentral:snRNA from 1 species